ACGGAGGAUCCAAGCGUUAUCCGGAAUUAUUAGGCGUAAAGGGUGCGUAGGCGGUUUAAUAAGUCUGAAGUAAAAGGCAGUGGCUCAACCAUUGUUCGCUUUGGAAACUGUUAGACUAGAGUGCAGAAGAGGCAAGUGGAAUUCCAUGUGUAGCGGUAAAAUGCGUAGAUAUAUGGAGGAACACCAGUGGCGAAGGCGGCUUGCUGGUCUGUAACUGACGCUGAUGCACGAAAGCGUGGGGAGAAAAUAG
rnacentral:rRNA from 1 species